AUUGAACGCUGGCGGCAAGCCUAACACAUGCAAGUCGAACGAGUGGCGGACGGGUGAGUAAUGUCUGGGAAACUGCCUGAUGGAGGGGGAUAACUACUGGAAACGGUAGCUAAUACCGCAUACCAUCGGAUGUGCCCAGAUGGGAUUAGCUAGUAGGUGGGGUAAAGGCUCACCUAGGCGACGAUCCCUAGCUGGUCUGAGAGGAUGACCGGCAAAACGGGAACUAAGAAACGGUCCAAACUCCAAGGGGAGGCGGCAGGGGGGAAUAUUGCACAAUGGGCGCAGGCCUAAUGCAGCCAUGCCGCGUGUAUGAAGAAGGCCUUCGGGUUGUAAAGAACUUUCAGCGGGGAGACGUUACCCACAGAAGAGGCACCGGCUAACUCCGUGCCAGCAGCCGCGGUAAUU
rnacentral:rRNA from 1 species